GACACCGUUCCUGUCUGGGUUUUCGGUGUUUUAAAAGCCAGCCCUCGGCCGGGCGUGCUGGCUCACGCCUGUAAUCUGAGCACUUUGGGAGGCCAAGGCGGAUGGAUCACCUAAGGUCAGGAGUUCGAGACCAGCCUGGCCAACACGGCGAAUCCCCGUCUGUACUAAAAAUACCAAAACAACAACAACAAAAACAGCCAGGUGUGGUGGUGGGUCCCUAUAAUCCCAGCUACUUGGCAGGCUGAGGCGAGAGAAUCGCUUGAACCUGGGAGGCAGAGGUUGCAGUGAGCUGAGAUCGCCCCAUUGCACUCCAACCUGGGCAACCAGCGAAACUCCGUCUCAAAAAAAUAAAAAAGCCAGCCCUCAGUUGGGGGGCGAGCCUGUGGGGAAAGGAUAAGGAGCCACAACACUGGAAGUCAUGGAAAUAAUGCCCGCAGGGUCAGAGACUGAGGCUUGAAGGGAGCCUCUGUGGUCUCAGAACUGGUCUUCACACCUCCACAUCCCUCAAGGAGGUCCUGCCUCUGAGGGCUCAGGCCAGGCUCUGAUGGGAGAGCCUGCCCAUUGCCCUAGGCUGAGACAAGGUUGGGGGGGAUGGCUGUUGAAGAGCCUCUCCCUUCCCAGGCCUGCGCCCCAACCUCACUGCUCACCUUCCAGAACCUUCCAUUCCCAUGCCGCCACUUAGCAGCCCAGACCCCUGGUUUUCAAACUUGACCCAAGGGGCUUGUUAAACCACUAGUGGCUGGGCCUCUCCUGGAGUCCCAGAUUCAGUAGGUCGGGGGUGGUUCCGGGCCCCGGCUAAUGUCAGAAUCACCUGGGGAGUGUUUUGACACUCUCCAACAAUAUACUCAACCCAGGCCAAUUAAGUCAGAUUCUCUGGGGGCCGGGUGUGAGUCCUUUCAAAAG
rnacentral:lncRNA from 1 species